rnacentral:rRNA from 1 species
GUCGUAACAAGGUCUCCGUUGGUGAACCAGCGGAGGGAUCAUUACCGAGUUUUCAACUCCCAAACCCUUUUGUGAACCUACCUAUCGUUGCUUCGGCGGACUCGCCCCAGCCCGGACGCGGACUGGACCAGCGGCCGCCGGGGACCCUCAAACUCUUGUAUUACCAGCAUGUUCUGAAUACGCCGCAAGGCAAAACAAAAUUAAAACUUUCAACAACGGAUCUCUUGGCUCUGGCAUCGAUGAAGAACGCAGCGAAACGCGAUAAGUAAUGUGAAUUGCAGAAUCCAGUGAAUCAUCGAAUCUUUGAACGCACAUUGCGCCCGCCAGCAUUCUGGCGGGCAUGCCUGUUCGAGCGUCAUUACAACACUCGACUUCCUGGGCCCAGCCCGUGGAAGUCGGCAUUGGGGAUCGGCAGCACACCGCCGGCCCUGAAAUGGAGUGGCGGCCCGUCCGCGGCGACCUCUGCGUAGUAAUUCAACUCGCACUGGAACCCCGACGCGGCCACGCCGUAAAACACCCAACUUCUGAACGUUGACCUCGAAUCAGGUAGGACUACCCGCUGAACUUAAGCAUAUCA